rnacentral:tRNA from 1 species
GGUGGCGUGUCCGAGUGCUCGAAGGAACCGGCCUGCAAAGCCGUUAUUACACACCGUGGGUUGGAAUCCCACCGCCACCUCCA